UCAGACGGCCGGGCGGUCGCGGUCGCCUUCGGGCGGUCGAGGAAAGUCCGGGCUCCACGGUGAAAUGGCGGCGGGUAACGCCCGCCGGGGGCGACCCCAGGGAUAGCGCCACAGAAAGCAAACCGCCCGAGGCUUCGGCCGAGGGUAAGGGUGAAAGGGUGCGGUAAGAGCGCACCGCGGGCCUGGUGACAGGACCGGCAUGGCAAGCCCCGCCAGGAGCAAGACCGAAUAGGGACCGCGCGCCCGUCCUCGGACGGGCAGGGCUCGCCGGCCCGAGCGGUCCGGGUAGGUCGCGAGAACCGUCCGGCGACGGACGGUCCAGAGGAAUGAUCGUCGCCCCGGAGCAAUCCGGGGGCACAGAACCCGGCUUAUAGGCCGUCUGAUCCG
rnacentral:RNase_P_RNA from 1 species